AAUUGCGAAAAGUAAUGUGACGUGCACCCUUUGAGAAGCAUUUUACUCUUUGAACGCACCUUGCGCGCAUUCUCAGAAUGCGAGGUCCUGUUUGAGCGUCAACCAAAAGUUGAACUUGGUUGCUAAAAUGGAAUAGUUUUGGCAGCUUAAAGACAUGCAGAGCCCGAACGACUCUAGGGCACAGGAGUACACGGCGCGACAAGCACCACUGUGGAACCUGUUCAACUGCAAGGACGUGUUUUUAACUGGUGGUUUUGCUGGUAGUUGUACUUUGUACAACUAUUUGCUAUUCACUAGUUACCUGCACAACUUACUCUACUAAUAACUCGGGUUUGCCGAGUUACCAGUAAAGUAAGAAGAAAAGACCUCAAAUCAGGAUAGAGGACCCGCUGAACUUAAGCAUAUCAGUAAGCGGAGGAAAAGAAACUAACGAGGAUUCCCCUAGUAACGGCGAGUGAAGCGGGAGCAGCCCAUGACGAAAGCUUCUCCGGAAGCAGGUGUGUCGUGGAGCGGGGCGUCGCAGGCGAUGGCGGUCGCAGGUCCCCUGGAAAGGGGCGGCAGAGAGGGUGAGACCCCCGUGUCGACAACCAGCUAACCUGCAGAGACGCCCCCCAGCGAGUCGGAUUGUUUGGGAAUGCAAUCCCAAGCGGGUGGUACGCGCCAUCUAAGGCUAAACAAGGGCAAGAGACCGAUAGCGAACAAGUACCGUGAGGGAAAGAUGAAAAGGACUCUGAAGAGAGAGUCAAAAGUGCGUGAAAUUGCGGCGAGGGAAACGAAUGUUUUUACUGGUGGUUGGGCUUACGCGCAACCGUCAAAGGGGGAAGUGGAAUGGGUGCAAGAAGUGCAAGGGAGGUAACAUUCUCCGGGAUGAACAUAUAACCUUGCAUGACACACACAUUUC
rnacentral:rRNA from 1 species